rnacentral:lncRNA from 1 species
GUCAUCAUGGCUCAGAGGACAUCACGAUCCAAAUAAGAGAAAAUCCUUCAAAAUGACGAGAACAUCAAGCACAUCUGUGAAUAGCUGUUAUUCAAGGUAGGCAGUGGAGCUACUGUUAACUCCAUCUCUCAAACUUUUCUUGCGUGUCAGUUUGCACGCCUCUCCUUUUUGCCUGGUUCAAAAAAGGAAAAGGCAGUGUUGAAGUUGAAUAUUUUUUUAUUUUUGAAGAAAAAAAGCAUUUUAGAAAAAUGAUGUAGAUUGAAAAAACAUUUAGAAAAUAACAUAUUUUAAACACAACAUGAAUGAUGAUUCGCGCGUGUGUUUUUUUUUCUGGUUCACGACUUGUUUCAGCACUUGUUUCCUUGCAUUCUUUGCAUGUGUUGAUUGUUUUCCAUACUACUUGAAGAAUCAGAUUCCAUUUCUGUUGAUCGACUUCACCAUCCAUAAUUUAUCCUGCGCCAUGAUCUUCCUUCUCUGCUCGACCUGCCUUUUCUUUGUUUCCUCCCAGCUCAUGACUUGGUGUUCAUCUUAUCCCUCAUGUUGCUGCUCCCUAGUCGUCACCUGCUCAGCCUCAUCGAUCUACGAUUACAGAUCCUAUUCGUUUUUCUGUGAUUGUCCUUUUCGUUUUCUAUUUAUGGUUUGAAUCCUCAAGGUUUUGAUGGCUUCUUCCUUUCCUUAUCCAUUGUUUAAUUCUUGCUUUCUUUCAUUCUUUAUCUUUCUUUUUGGAAGUAUGGAUUUGUUUCUUUUUCUCCCUUUACUCUCUCCCCCCUCUAGUCUUUUCUUGAAUUAUUGCAGGCAUGCAUAGCACUUGAGGUUUCUCUAGCGCCUGGAAAAAACAAGAAAACAGAAAAAGAAAUGGGUUUUUGGUGUCAAUGAUAUCACAUGCAGCCAAAUAUAUGGUGCCGCCUGCCGACUGCCGACAACAGGCACACGCUUCAGUUUGGUUAUGCAUGUGUAGCUCAUCAUCGCGUAGAACGGGCACUCUGGCUUAAAUACAAUUAUGUGCUAAUCGCAUGCCCAUUAAUUUAUUUUUCUUACAAAACAGAAAAUUACAUAGUUUAGGGAUCCACACAACCUGGAG